UAAACUACGAUUAGAUACCCUAUUAUUUUGCAUGUUAAUUUAUGGGUAGUAUUAGUUAUGAUCUGACAAACCUAAAGAAUUUGGCGGUAUUUUAUUCUAUUUAGAGGAAUUUGUCCCGUUAUCGAUAGUCCUCGAUUUAUUCUUUCUUAAUUUUGUUUUCAGUAUGUAUACCGCCGUUAUAAGUCUAUUUUAUGAGAAUUUAAUUUACUAUAAUUUUAAUUUAAAUUUAUUUCAGGUCAAGGUGCAGCUAAUAAUUAAGUGGUGAUGAAUUACAAUUUUAUUUAGAAAAUACGGAGUUGGAGUUGAAAAUAAUUUUAAUGAAGGUGGAUUUAUUAGUAAUUUUAUUUUUUGUGGUUUUUUGAAAUUAGUUCUAAGAUAAGUACACAUCG
rnacentral:rRNA from 1 species